AAGAAGUCAACUACUGUGGGUGGUUGUCGACCGUACAACGCAUGGAACGGGGAGGUUCCAAUAGUCGAAUGGUACGUUGUAUUAUGCCAAAGUUCUGCCAAGUGAAGAUAUUUGUACCACUUGUUUGGUUGGUUUCCCACAAAACAUCUCAGGUAGGCCUCUAAGCCGCGGUUCAGUACCUCUGUUUGACCGUCCGUUUGGGAUGGUAUGACGAGCUAAAUUUUAACGUUGUUCCUUGUCCUUUGAACAGGUGCUGCUAGAAAGUGCUAACAAACAAGGGGUCGCGAUCCGAGACGAUGGUUUUUGGUAGUCCGUAGAGGCGACAAAUUUCUACUGAGAAACGCUUGGCUAGUUGCUGGGCCGUGAAGUGUGUGGGCAGAGCGAUGAAGUGCACAUAUUUUGUGAGUCUGUCGCAUAAUACCCAAAUGACCGAGUGUCCGGAUGAGACUGGAAGGUGAGUAAUAAAAUCCAUUGAUAUGUCCUCCCAUUCUUGUUUUGGAAUUGGUAAUGGUUGCAGUAAACCCUGAGUUUUGGUUGGCAUAUACUUAUUUUUUUUUGCAUGUGGAGCAUUGUUGGACAAAACGAUGGACGUCUCUGGUCCAUUUCGGCCAAUAGAAUGAAGCGGCUAUGCGCUUGAGAGUUGGUUUGAUGCUGGAAUGGCC
rnacentral:lncRNA from 1 species